rnacentral:rRNA from 1 species
UACGAAGGGGGCUAGCGUUGCUCGGAAUCACUGGGCGUAAAGCGCACGUAGGCGGCUUUCUAAGCCAGGGGUGAAAUCCUGGAGCUCAACUCCAGAACUGCCUUUGAUACUGGAGAGCUAGAGUCCGGAAGAGGUGAGUGGAACUGCGAGUGUAGAGGUGAAAUUCGUAGAUAUUCGCAAGAACACCAGUGGCGAAGGCGGCUCACUGGUCCGGUACUGACGCUGAGGUGCGAAAGCGUGGGGAGCAAACAGG